UGUUCGAGAGGGUUCUUUCUCUCGCUGCACAAGCGUCGAGUUCCCUCACUUGCUAACGUUAACAUGUAGGAUUUAUACAUUGUUAAUAUGUACAUUGUAUAUUAGUUGGGAUAAGACACAGGAUGUUUAUUGUUUGAGAGCGGUAUCGAUUUCACUUAACUUAAUCGAAUCGAAUCCGAUUAACCGAGCAAUCGUCCCAGUGAAAUAAUUAUUUCAUCACGGACAGGCACCUGGUAAGAACUGCAGACCUUCAGUAAGCCAGCUGGAUGGCUUCGUCAUAUGAAGAAUUCAACGCCCACGAGUGAGACUCGUACCAACAUCGUUGAGGAGCAAGUGGUUCAAGGUAGACAAUGGAAUGGAAAAGAGUGGGGAAAGUACUUUUUUUCUUGAUCGGACUUGGCGUUACUAUUGCCGGGGUAGUCUUUGACUGGAUUAAUUUCAAAGAACUGCGUCGGAAUCAACAAAAGAUUGAAAAAACUGGACUUAAUAGAUGUGACACUGGAGUCGAAGUAUAUCCUUGGCUUUUCGUGGCAUUCGUAAUAGGGAAAAUGGUUUUUACUUUGUUGGAGAGUAUAUGUAACGGCAUUUCACUACGUGAAGACGAUGAUGAACUAAACACUGCAGACACAGUUUCUUUGAUUUUCAGUUUCAUAACAGCCACAUUUCAGUUCUUAGAUUUGCUUAUAUUGGUGAUAUUUUCAUUUGCAUGUCUCCAGCCAGAAGGUUUAAAUGUUUUUCAUGAACUGAUAAGUGAUGUUCUGCAUGAUUUCUUGGCUGGUCUCUUUGGAACAACUGGUGUUGUAUUGAACCUUACAGUAAAGAAGAACUUCUCAGCAGUUGCUAAAGUGUUAAAAUCCAUCUGGUGUAAAUCAGGUGAAAUACCCAAAACCUUUAGAGUUUUCUCAGUUCUCCAGCUGAUUUGUGCCUUAUUUUGUAUCAUUCUUGCAAUUAUAUUACUUGUUAACUACACUACAGUGAACAGUUCGCCUAAUGAUGCCGAAACACUUGAAGGAUCAUAAUUAUGCUUCGCUUUACAAUGUGACUGCCACAUUGUUUUAAAAUGAAUAUAUGAGCCGCGCCAUGAGAAAACCAACAUAGUGGGUUUGCGACCAGCAUGGAUCCAGACCAGCCUGCGCAUCCGGGCAGUCUGGUCAAAAUCCAUGCUGUUCGCUUUCAAAGCCUAUUGCAAUUAGAGAACCCGUUAGCGAACAGCAUGAAUCCUGACCAGACUGCGCGGAUGCGCAGGCUGGUCUGGAUCCAUGCUGGUCGCAAACCCACUAUGUUGGUUAUCUCAUGGCGCGGCUCAUAUAAUAAAUAUUUUUCUUGUGAAAUCCUGUUUUCGAUCAUUGUUUUCUCAUACAUUUAUCAUAGAUUUGAAUAUUAGACUUAAAUUAUAGAAAUAGCACAGUAUCUUUUGUUUUAUUACCUUCUUUUAAGGCUCUGGCGGUAUAUGUUCAAGUGGAAUAUUGAAUCACCUUAGUGCUUUUCUAACCAUGUCAUUUUGCACAUUCUUUAUUUGAACAGCUGCUUUAUCCGUUUAGAGAAUAAUAAUUAAAAACCUUAUGGACGUUGAAGCAAUA